rnacentral:lncRNA from 1 species
CGGAGCGGCGCUGACGGGGCUGCAGCAGGGCCUCAGGGGCUGCGAAGGGGACGUGUUCGCUCCGUUCUUCUUCAUGCACCAUCCCGGAAAUGCACUCCAGCAGGUACACUGAGUACUGAGCCACCACAAGUAUAAGCAGUGUUCAUACAAAAGUGUGAGCGCUCUCAACAGACAGCUGUGAAAGUAAAUGGGAGCUGUGUGAAAGCAUUUGAGAGGGAGCAGGAACAAAGCAAGCACUGGGCAGAGGAGCUACAGAACUCUGGUUCAUGAUGUAAAGCAUUGGUUCACAGUGAAGAUCCAAAGAUGUUUCAUCUGCCAGGCUCAAAGCAGAUGUUUGGAAAAGAAGUGUGCUAGCUGUUCCUGUGGCUGAUUCGUUAAGUUGAUUGCAGCUAGUUUGCGAUCUGAAAGGUUAGUCUUAGGGAGGUAAAGUUAAAAAGCUAAUUGCAACUGAAUUGAUGGCCUUCGAGUUUAUAAGAUAAACUAAUGAAUAUUGGACACUGAUAUUCCCUGUAAAUUUCAGAAAUUAAAGAGGUGAUGAAAACUCUUUCCAUAUAUUCAUAAAUAUUUAUUUUUGCAGUAUUGAAAGGUAUUUUUUGCCUGGGAACUUUCAUGCGUGAAGAAUACAGUUAUCUUUGG